CGAACCGCGAGCUUGGGAGAGCUUGAGCGGUUCAGACCGACCUUCGCAGCUUUGGGAGAGGCUGCGGUAGGUCUUCAGGGGAGAACCGCCGAUGGAGAAUGCACUCCUCAUCGGAUUAUCGCGCCAGGUGGUGCUUG
rfam:Proteobacteria bacterium SG_bin9 25760, whole genome shotgun sequence.